CCCUCGGCCUGCAGAAAGCUUUGAGGACCUACGCAGGGACACAUUCAUCAUGCUGUGUUACCUCGGGCCUCACCUUUCCCAUGAUCCUAUCCUUUUUGCCAAGAUAGUGCGUCUAGGCAAGGCCUUCAUGAAAGAGUACCAAAGUGAUGCCAGACCUGAUGUCAAA